rnacentral:rRNA from 1 species
ACUUUUCAGCUAGAGUAUGAUAGAGGAAAGCAGAAUUUCUAGUGUAGAGGUGAAAUUCGUAGAUAUUAGAAAGAAUACCAAUUGCGAAGGCAGCUUUCUGGAUCAUUACUGACACUGAGGAACGAAAGCAUGGGUAGCGAAGAGGAUUAGAUACCCUCGUAGUCCAUGCCGUAAACGAUGUGUGUUAGACGUUGGAAAUUUAUUUUCAGUGUCGCAGCGAAAGCGAUAAACACACCGCCUGGGGAGUACGACCGCAAGGUUAAAACUCAAAUGAAUUGACGGGGACCCGCACAAGUAGUGGAGCAUGUGGUUUAAUUCGAAGAUACGCGCAGAACCUUACCAACACUUGACAUGUUCGUCGCGACUCUAAGAGAUUAGAGUUUUCGGUUCGGCCGGACGAAACACAGGUGCUGCAUGGCUGUCGUCAGCUCGUGUCGUGAGAUGUUGGGUUAAGUCCCGCAACGAGCGCAACCCUCACUUUUAGUUGCCAUCAUUAAGUUGGGCACUCUGAAAGAACUGCCAGUGAUAAGCUGGAGGAAGGUGGGGAUGACGUCAAGUCCUCAUGGCCCUUACGUGUUGGGCUACACACGUGCUACAAUGGUAUCUACAACAGGAAGCAAGACUGCGAGGUCAAGCAAAUCCUCAAAAGAUACCUCAGUUCGGAUUGCACUCUGCAACUCGAGUGCAUGAAGCUGGAAUUACUAGUAAUCGUGGAUCAGCGUGC